GUGAACCAGGAGGAGAAGCGGCUUCAAUGAAAACACUCCAGCACCGACUGACACGGACAGCUCCCUGAGCGGCUCUGCGCAGGCGCAUAUGGGGGCGGGGAUUGUGGGUUAAAGAAGAACUGGAUGAAGAUGCUGAUAUGAAGUAUUCAAGUACAGCACCUUCACUACAGUCUCAACCUUUGCUGAUGAAGAAACUACCAUCUUUUUCAUCAUGUGAAAUAUUUACUGUACAUUCCUUCAGAUUGACUGAAUGAACUCCUCUCGAACAAUCUCACCAGCCUGAUGCUUCUUCUCUGAGGAUAAGCUGAUAACUUCACCCGAGGCUUUCCUCGAGCCCUCGAUAACAUCAGUGAUUAUAAUGAGAUGAGCUGUGAAGCACAAGAACAAUCAUGUGUUGAAUCAUGAACGGGGUCUAAAUAUAUCUGCGUCUGCUAUCGUGGCACGUUAGGCUUUGUCGCUGCUGGGAAACGUUUUACGCAGAAAGAGGAGCAAUUGUUUUCAUGUUGCUAUAACACAAUCUAAAUUUAUUCUACUGCAGGAACAACUGCAAGGCAGACUGGUCAAAUGAUUGAAUUUAAAAAUGUCUCUUGCUGUUUUACGCCAAAUGAGGAUGUUAAGAGCAAUUAUUUUCCCUUUAUACACACUAAACAAUACAAAUAACUAUAACUCUAUUUUAUAGGAUGUUUUCCAGGAAAUACCACAACACUAGAACUGGAAGCAAUUAUAAAACCAACUACUGACAAAAUGACUGCAGUGCUAUACUAUAAGUUUAUUUGUAAUAUCAUUACUUGAUUUAGGAGUAAAAAGACUGAUUUAACUGAAAAUUGUCCAUCAACCAACAUAUUCUGUAUUUUUACAUUCUAAGCCGCCACUAGAGGGCAACAUUGCCAUGAAACCAGGAUCAAUAAAUAAACUGUGUGAACUGCAGUGCUUUUUUUUUGUACAGCCACAGGGAAAUGUUUUUUGUUACCAUGUGCUCAGUCCUUCUCUGGAUCUGUUUGAAGAUGAUUUCAACUUAUUUUUAAGAAAAUCAAUCCAAUAUAAAACCACUAUUUAUAUACUAACACACCUUGGAUGAUUAGUUUGCCAACGAUUAGUCUGAGGAUCAGAGUUAUCAAAUCCUCUGCAACCUUGAUUUUUCAUUCAUCACAGCACAGAUCUAUUGAAGAUACAGUAGUGACUAUAAAGUUGUUUGAUACUGUUUACUUGUUGGGGGUUUUUUGUGUUGUGUUUUUUUUUUUCCUUUUUUUAUUGAAGUAACUACUUCACAACUCAACAAAUAAAGAGUAUCAAAAAUUUUUUUAAAUAGAACAUAAAGAAAAAACAGUGAUGCUCAUGAAGCAAACAUGUCAGACAAAUACAAAAUACAUGUCUUCUGAGUUCUCUGUCAAUAUAGUACGACAGCCUUGUGUAUUUAGGCUCAAGGCUCAAGUUUUGGCAAAGUUUAACUUUUUAACAGAAACAAUGAAAAACAGUCAGUUCAUGUUAAUUAUAAUAUAAUAAUAAUUUCAGAAAAAUUCUACUUGGCUCCUUUAGUUACUAGUAGUUUCACCAACAUUGUUACGGGCUGAUAAAAAUGCAAUAACUUUAUGAAAUAUUGGGGUGAAAUAUUUUCAGCUUCCAAAAGGGAAGAAAAUUUUACUCUUUACUGUUUCUUUUACAUAAACAGACAUUGAGGCACAGACAAACUCAUCAAACAACUGCUUUGUUGUUCAGUGCAACUUGUAUAUUUCUGAAAAAUACAAAAAAACAAGAUUGUGCUUGUGCAUGAUGAUCUUUAUUAAAUUUCAUGUGUUUUUGUUAAACACAUACUAUUACAACAGUGAACAUUUACCAGUGCAUUUGCUUUUCAGUCAUCCCUUUUAAUCAGUCCUAUUAUGCUAGAACACUAUUUAGAGUCUAAUAGUCCAGUAGUGUCAAAAUCAAAGCUGGGUGAGUUUGAAUCAAACUUUCAAACAGCAUAAACAUUAGCUUUUCAUGGUGAGUACACACAUAUUCCAUGAAGAUCAGAUUUGUGCCAAAGUCUGUAAUAACAUUGCCCGUCUGAUCAGAAAAUUAA